rnacentral:rRNA from 1 species
UACGUAGGGUGCAAGCGUUGUCCGGAAUUAUUGGGCGUAAAGAGCUCGUAGGCGGUUUGUCGCGUCUGCCGUGAAAAGUCCGGGGCUCAACUCCGGAUCUGCGGUGGGUACGGGCAGACUAGAGUGAUGUAGGGGGAGACUGGAAUUCCUGGUGUAGCGGUGAAAUGCGCAGAUAUCAGGGAGGAACACCGAUGGCGAAGGCAGAUCUGCUGGGCCGUAACUGACGCUGAGGAGCGGAAAGCAUGGGGAGCGAACAGGAUUAGACUACCUAGU